UACGGAGGGUGCAAGCGUUGUUCGGAUUUACUGGGCGUAAAGCGCGCGCAGGUGGAUGAGCAAGUCGGAAGUGAAAUCUUGAGGCUCAACCUCGAGGCUGCUCCCGAAACUGUUCGUCUAGGGACUGGUAGAGGCUGGUAGAAUUCCCGGUGUAGCGGUGAAAUGCGCAGAUAUCAGGAGGAACACCGGUGGCGAAGGCGGAUCUCUGGGCCGUAACUGACGCUGAGGAGCGAAAGCAUGGGGAGCGAACAGG
rnacentral:rRNA from 1 species